UUCUGUCUGGGUAGCCUCCAACCUGAUGGCAUGAACAUUGACUUCUCUAAACCUCUAGAAGAUCACCCCCCAACCUCCUUAGCUCCAGGGAAAACAGUCCCAGUCUAUCCAGCCUCUCUUUAAAACUGAAGCCCUGCAGUCCAUCAGCUUUGUAAUAGAAGGGUAGAACAUUAAACGUUGGGCUUGGAGAGCGUUCCUCACCAGGCCUCUCAUCAGUUCCAUGUCCGGCUCCGGUGUCUGUGUUCAACUUCACAACGGCUUGUGUGGAAGUAGUCACAGUGACCGACCAGUGGAUUCACGCUGUUUUGUUUUCAGACUGAAAGUGGACCCAGUGACAGACGGAGAUAUGGCCCGACCUGCUGAGUGUUUCGUGCAAUUUCUGCCUUGGCUUUAGAUUUCCAGCUUCAGCACCUUUGAGGAAUUUCACUUGUACCAAGAUGUCCCUGAUCUUGGAUUCUGUGCCCACCCAGUGAAGAAGGUGUCCCCUUCUAUGUAGUUGCCACCUUCAGGGAUCUUUGGACUUCUACACCGAGGUCCCUCUGUUCCUCUGUACUCUCCAGGGACCUACCACUUACCCAUAUCACUUUUCCCAAAGUCUUUCAACUCACACUAACCCGGAUUAAAUCCCAUUGCCAGAUCCUUCCAAUAGUGACAUCUCUAGUGUACAACUGUCCUCCACACUGUCAGCAUCACCACCAUCGAGGACAUCUGCAAGAAUGGAGACUGAGGCAGCCUCAUCACAGGUACAACCAACUUCACCAUCGAGGACAUCUGCAAGAGGCAGUACUUAAAAGUAAAUUUAUUGUCAAAGUACAUAAACAGUAUGUCAUCAGAUACUACCCCAAGAUUCAUUGUCUUGCGGGCAUUCACAUGAAACACCCUGGUUUCCUUGGCUGCGUAAGUCGGGGGAAACAACCUCCGACCCAGCCAAACUCAAUAGAUUGAGACAGCUCGAUCCCACCCCAAGCCUCGGUUUGUGUGGAUGCUGUGUCACUUACUACCCUGUCACAAAUUAAUGCCGCGAAAUAACAGACAGUACACAGCAUACGAUUAAAGGAAUUAUAUUUAUGAAUCUUAACUAAAGGGUUAGUAAAGAAUAACAAACAGAAAAGGGCCCAUUCUAAUUAAACAGUCAAAUGUGCACUAGUUGGAGCUCAUCUGGAACUUCUCUGUCACUCACGCACUGGGCCCUCGGUCAACGUGAAAGCACACACCACCUUCCAAAUGUCACUCCCAAUCCAUCUUGAACAAAUGCCUGAAGCCCAACCUUAGUGUCCCUCACCAGAGAAACCUCCCCCUAAUCUGACCGUUCUAAUUGGAUGGCACACAUUUCUCCUCUCUCUGUUCUUCAACAGUAUCCCAAACAAGCAUGAAAACAGAACAGACUGCUCUUACAGAGCUGCCAGAAUGAUAUACAUACAGCAUAACAGUAAAAAUAUAAACCGGGAAAUACAAAACACGAUAGAAUCAAUGAAGACUGUACACACAAGAUGGAUGAACAACCAAUCUACACAAGACAACAAACUGCAAAUACAAAAAGUAAAAAACAAACAAUAAUAAUAAUAAUAGUAAGCAAUAAAUAUUGAGAACAUGA